CCAAGAUCACUUUGUUAUUUUGCAUCCAACCACCAACACGUCUCCUGGAAGAAUCCCCAACUCAAUUUUCUCACUCCAGCCACAGCCACGAAGACUAACAAGUUGACCAACAUUACCACCUUCACCCUUAUUUUGUAUUCUGUAUUAGUUGCACAUGUUUCCUCCAGGAACAAGGGUAAGGGACCUGCAACAGCUGCUCAAAGAAACCAGCAACAUCACCGACUACAUUUUCUGAAGCCAGUAAUAAGGCCUACCUCCUUCAAACUGGAAAGCCACCUCCUCAAACCCAUAUCUCCCCCACCCAAUAUUACUACUUGAAUGAUCAAUGUGUUGACCACACUUGCUUGGUCUUUCGCAGUCCCUUCCGAUCACUCCAAAUGACCUCCCGAACCGGACCCCCUACCUAAACCUGGUGGUCCCUGAUGGAAGAGAUGUUCGCUUCCGGUGCUUUUGGAAAGAACAACAAAAUGGCAGCAUCGCAUUGACCCGUGGUUUGCCACAGUUCUACCGGAGUGGCCGCGAAAAUAACUACCAGCCCCGACCGUCUGAGGAACUGCCGUAUGAAAAGCAAAGCACUUACCAGCGUGCCCACUGUAUGAACAAUCCUUCUUCCAACAAGGCCAAAGCCAUAGUUGAAAAAUUCUCCACCAAAUGUCCCUUCUCUGUGAUGGACCUCACUAGCCCGUCUUGUCCUCCCACUUAUUGGUCUGAUGCUGCGACGAAGCGGGAAGCUCAUG